AUCCUGAGAGGUGAUGCGUAGCCGUAGCGGCGAAAUCCAUGAUCCUAUGCUGCCGAGAAAAGCCUCUAGCGAGCUGGUACAUGGCCCGUACCCCAAACCGACACAGGUGGUCAGGUAGAGAAUACUAAGGCGAUCGAGAGAACUGUGGUUAAGGAACUCGGCAAAAUGCCCCCGUAACUUCGGGAGAAGGGGGACCAGUCCUGGCGACGACAUUUACUGUCUGAGCUGGGGUUGGUCGCAGAGACCAGAGAGAAGCGACUGUUUACUAAAAACACAGGUCCGUGCGAAGUCGUAAGACGAUGUAUACGGACUGACGCCUGCCCGGUGCUGGAAGGUUAAGAGGACCGGUCAGCCACUUCGGUGGCGAAGCUGAGAAUUUAAGCCCCAGUAAACGGCGGUGGUAACUAUAACCAUCCUAAGGUAGCGAAAUUCCUUGUCGGGUAAGUUCCGACCUGCACGAAUGGCGUAACGACUUCUCUGCUGUCUCAACCACAGACUCGGCGAAAUUGCAGUACGAGUAAAGAUGCUCGUUACGCGCGGCAGGGCGAAAAGACCCCGGGACCUUCACUAUAGCUUGGUAUUGGUGUUCGGUUCGGUUUGUGUAGGAUAGGUGGGAGACUGUGAAACUCGCACGCCAGUGUGGGUGGAGUCAUUGUUGAAAUACCACUCUGACCGUAUUGGACAUCUAACCUCGGACCAUGAUCUGGUUCAGGGACAGUGCCUGGUGGGUAGUUUAACUGGGGCGGUUGCCUCCUAAAAAGUAACGGAGGCGCCCAAAGGUUCCCUCAGCCUGGUUGGCAAUCAGGUGUUGAGUGUAAGUGCACAAGGGAGCUUGACUGUGAGACGUACAUGUCGAGCAGGGACGAAAGUCGGGACUAGUGAUCCGGCACCGGCAAGUGGAAGCGGUGUCGCUCAACGGAUAAAAGGUACCCCGGGGAUAACAGGCUGAUCUUCCCCAAGAGUCCAUAUCGACGGGAUGGUUUGGCACCUCGAUGUCGGCUCGUCGCAUCCUGGGGCUGGAGUAGGUCCCAAGGGUUGGGCUGUUCGCCCAUUAAAGCGGCACGCGAGCUGGGUUUAGAACGUCGUGAGACAGUUCGGUCUCUAUCCGCCGCGCGCGUAAGAAACUUGAGGAAACCUGUCCCUAGUACGAGAGGACCGGGACGGACGAACCUCUGGUGUGCCAGUUGUUCCACCAGGAGCACCGCUGGUUAGCUACGUUCGGAAGGGAUAACCGCUGAAAGCAUCUAAGCGGGAAGCCUGUUCCAAGAUGAGGUUUCUCACCACCUAGCGUGGUUAAGGCCCCCCACAGACCAUGGGGUUGAUAGGCCAGAACUGUAAGCACAGCAAUGUGUUCAGGUGACAGGUACUAAUCGGCCGAGGACUUAC
rnacentral:rRNA from 1 species